GAUGAACGCUGGCGGCGUGCCUAAUACAUGCAAGUCGAGCGAACGGACGAGAAGCUUGCUUCUCUGAUGUUAGCGGCGGACGGGUGAGUAACACGUGGAUAACCUACCUAUAAGACUGGGAUAACUUCGGGAAACCGUAGCUAAUACCGGAUAAUAUUUUGAACCGCAUGGUUCAAAAGUGAAAGACGGUCUUGCUGUCACUUAUAGAUGGAUCCGCGCUGCAUUAGCUAGUUGGUAAGGUAACGGCUUACCAAGGCAACGAUGCAUAGCCGACCUGAGAGGGUGAUCGGCCACACUGGAACUGAGACACGGUCCAGACUCCUACGGGAGGCAGCAGUAGGGAAUCUUCCGCAAUGGGCGAAAGCCUGACGGAGCAACGCCGCGUGAGUGAUGAAGGUCUUCGGAUCGUAAAACUCUGUUAUUAGGGAAGAACAUAUGUGUAAGUAACUGUGCACAUCUUGACGGUACCUAAUCAGAAAGCCACGGCUAACUACGUGCCAGCAGCCGCGGUAAUACGUAGGUGGCAAGCGUUAUCCGGAAUUAUUGGGCGUAAAGCGCGCGUAGGCGGUUUUUUAAGUCUGAUGUGAAAGCCCACGGCUCAACCGUGGAGGGUCAUUGGAAACUGGAAAACUUGAGUGCAGAAGAGGAAAGUGGAAUUCCAUGCGUAGCGGUGAAAUGCGCAGAGAUAUGGAGGAACACCAGUGGCGAAGGCGACUUUCUGGUCUGUAACUGACGCUGAUGUGCGAAAGCGUGGGGAUCAAACAGGAUUAGAUACCCUGGUAGUCCACGCCGUAAACGAUGAGUGCUAAGUGUUAGGGGGUUUCCGCCCCUUAGUGCUGCAGCUAACGCAUUAAGCACUCCGCCUGGGGAGUACGACCGCAAGGUUGAAACUCAAAGGAAUUGACGGGGACCCGCACAAGCGGUGGAGCAUGUGGUUUAAUUCGAAGCAACGCGAAGAACCUUACCAAAUCUUGACAUCCUUUGACAACUCUAGAGAUAGAGCCUUCCCCUUCGGGGGACAAAGUGACAGGUGGUGCAUGGUUGUCGUCAGCUCGUGUCGUGAGAUGUUGGGUUAAGUCCCGCAACGAGCGCAACCCUUAAGCUUAGUUGCCAUCAUUAAGUUGGGCACUCUAAGUUGACUGCCGGUGACAAACCGGAGGAAGGUGGGGAUGACGUCAAAUCAUCAUGCCCCUUAUGAUUUGGGCUACACACGUGCUACAAUGGACAAUACAAAGGGCAGCGAAACCGCGAGGUCAAGCAAAUCCCAUAAAGUUGUUCUCAGUUCGGAUUGUAGUCUGCAACUCGACUACAUGAAGCUGGAAUCGCUAGUAAUCGUAGAUCAGCAUGCUACGGUGAAUACGUUCCCGGGUCU
rnacentral:rRNA from 1 species